rnacentral:pre_miRNA from 1 species
UUAGGUAAAAUCAAUGUAGAUACUACACUUUGGAAAUGGAACCCACGUAAAAUGGUGGGACAUACAUUGAUUUCAUCCAA